GUGGGGAAUCUUGCGCAAUGGGCGAAAGCCUGACGCAGCGACGCCGCGUGAGUGAUGAAGGCCUUCGGGUUGUAAAGCUCUGUGGAGGGGGACGAAUAAGGGUUGGCUAACAUCCAGCUCGAUGACGGUACCCCUUUAGCAAGCACCGGCUAACUCUGUGCCAGCAGCCGCGGUAAGACAGAGGGUGCAAACGUUGUUCGGAAUUACUGGGCGUAAAGCGCGUGUAGGCCGCUUGGAAAGUCGGAUGUGAAAGCCCUGGGCUCAACCUAGGAAGUGCAUUCGAAACUUCCAAGCUGGAGUGCUGGAGAGGAAAGCGGAAUUCUCGGUGUAGAGGUGAAAUUCGUAGAUAUCGAGAGGAACACCGGUGGCGAAGGCGGCUUUCUGGACAGUCACUGACGCUGAGACGCGAAAGCGUGGGGAGCAAACAGGAUUAGAUACCCCAGUAGUCC
rnacentral:rRNA from 1 species